rnacentral:rRNA from 1 species
GAUAUUGGUCAGUGGGGGGAACCCUGAACCAGCGACACCGCGUGAGGGAAGAAGGUUUUCGGAUUGUCCACCUCUGUUGUCGGGGAAGAUAAUGACGGUACCCGAUGAGGAAGCCACGGCUAACUACGUGCCAGCAGCCGCGGUAAUACGUAGGUGGCAAGCGUUGUCCGGAAUUACUGGGCGUAAAGAGCACGUAGGCGGGGAUUUAAGUCAGGUGUGAAAGACCGCAGCUUAACUGCGGGGUUGCACUUGAAACUGAAUUUCUUGAGGGCAGGAGAGGAAAGCAGAAUUCCUGGUGUAGCGGUGAAAUGCGUAGAAAUCAGGAGGAAUACCGGUGGCGAAGGCGGCUUUCUGGACUGACCCUGACGCUGAGGUGCGAAAGCGUGGGUAGCAAACA